UGGUGACCAUAGCAGAGUGGAAAUACACGUUCCCAUCCCGAACACGUAAGUAAAACGCUCUAACGCCGAUGGUACUUGAGCUUGCCUCAGGGAGAGUAGGUAGCUGCCA
rnacentral:rRNA from 1 species